rnacentral:rRNA from 1 species
AAUGAUACCCCGGUAGUCCACGCCCUAAACGAUGUCGACUGGUUGUUGGGGGUUUGACACUCUCAGUAACGAAGCUAACGCGUGAAGUCGACCGCCUGGGGAGUACGGCCGCAAGGUUAAAACUCAAAGGAAUUGACGGGGACCCGCACAAGCGGUGGAUUAUGUGGAUUAAUUCGAUGCAACGCGAAAAACCUUACCUACCCUUGACAUGUCCGGAAGCCUGCUGAAAGGCAGGGGUGCCCGAAAGGGAACCGGAACACAGGUGCUGCAUGGCUGUCGUCAGCUCGUGUCGUGAGAUGUUGGGUUAAGUCCCGCAACGAGCGCAACCCUUGUCAUUAGUUGCUACAUUCAGUUGGGCACUCUAAUGAGACUGCCGGUGACAAACCGGAGGAAGGUGGGGAUGACGUCAAGUCCGUCAUGGCCCUUAUGGGUAGGGCUUCACACGUAAUACAAUGGCGCGUACAGAGGGCUGCUAAGCCGCAAGGUAGAGCCAAUCCCUUAAAGCGCGUCGUAGUCCGGAUUGCAGUCUGCAA